rnacentral:rRNA from 1 species
UACGGAGGGGGCUAGCGUUGUUCGGAAUUACUGGGCGUAAAGCGCGCGUAGGCGGACCUGCAAGUCGGGGGUGAAAGCCCGGAGGCUCAACCUCGGAACUGCCUUCGAUACUGCGGUCGUCGAGUCCGGGAGAGGUGAGUGGAACUGGCGAAGUGUAGAGGUGAAAUUCGUAGAUAUUCGCAAGAACACCAGUGGCGAAGGCGGCUCACUGGUCCGGUACUGACGCUGAGGUGCGAAAGCGUGGGGAGCAAACAGGG